AGAAGGUUUUAAGAAUAUGAACAGAUCUUUUUUAGAAUAUAGGGGGCGGAUGUCACACCCUAAUAUAUCGCCACUUUUAUAAUUUUAUGUUGUUAAGUAAAGCAAAAUUAUGUUUUAGACUAAAGUAAAGAUUUGAUUAAUACUUUUAUCCAGUGUAAAUGAAUAACAACUCUCAAGGUGUAUUAGAUGAAUUAUCUUUUCGAUUUGAUAGUCUAUAGUUAAUAACAGAUUUUGAAAUUGUUAUGAGUCUACAACACUUAAUUUUAGCGAAAUUCAAUUAAAAAGUCACAUCAUAGAAGACAGAAAAUCAUCAAUAUCUAUUUUCAAUAAGUUGGCUUUCAUAGCAAACGUGAGAGACUGUUUACUCCUGUCCCAAUCUAACCUAGUGGGUUCAAAAAGAAAGAGCCACGCUGGAAACAUGAGGGGAUUAAAAGAAUCAGUCUUUUUUUGAAUUAAUAGUCGAAGUUGUAAACAGCUAGAAGUCGUAACCUGCUCGUAUGAAAAGAUUUCUCGACGUGAAAUAGAUAAUUUUAUUCAACAACGUCUAGAAACAGAGCUCUCUCAAGAAACAGAAAAAAUGAAAAAAUAUUCUGUUGAACAA